AAUGAACGCUGGCGGCAUGCCUAACACAUGCAAGUCGAACGAAGGCUUCGGCCUUAGUGGCGCACGGGUGCGUAACGCGUGGGAAUCUGCCCCUUGGUUCGGAAUAACAGUUGGAAACGACUGCUAAUACCGGAUGACGACGUAAGUCCAAAGAUUUAUCGCCGAGGGAUGAGCCCGCGUAGGAUUAGGUAGUUGGUGUGGUAAAGGCGCACCAAGCCGACGAUCCUUAGCUGGUCUGAAAGGAUGAUCAGCCACACUGGGACUGAGACACGGCCCAGACUCCUACGGGAGGCAGCAGUGGGGAAUAUUGGACAAUGGGCGAAAGCCUGAUCCAGCAAUGCCGCGUGAGUGAUGAAGGCCUUAGGGUUGUAAAGCUCUUUUACCCGGGAUGAUAAUGACAGUACCGGGAGAAUAAGCUCCGGCUAACUCCGUG
rnacentral:rRNA from 1 species